AGCGAACGCUGGCGGCAGGCCUAACACAUGCAAGUCGAACGAACCUUUCGGGGUUAGUGGCGGACGGGUGAGUAACACGUGGGAACGUGCCUUUAGGUUCGGAAUAACUCAGGGAAACUUGUGCUAAUACCGAAUGUGCCCUUCGGGGGAAAGAUUUAUCGCCUUUAGAGCGGCCCGCGUCUGAUUAGCUAGUUGGUUGAGGUAAUGGCUCACCAAGGCGACGAUCAGUAGCUGGUCUGAGAGGAUGAUCAGCCACAUUGGGACUGAGACACGGCCCAAACUCCUACGGGAGGCGGCAGAGGGGAAUCUUGCGCAAUGGGCGAAAGCCUGACGCAGCCAUGCCGCGUGAAUGAUGAAGGUCUUAGGAAUGUAAAAUUCUUUCACCGGGGACGAUAAUGACGGUACCCGGAGAAGAAGCCCCGGCUAACUUCGUG
rnacentral:rRNA from 1 species